ensembl:misc_RNA Y_RNA Y RNA
GGCUGGUCCAAGUGCAGUGGUGUUUACAACUAAUUGAUCACAACCAGUUAUAGAUUUCUUUGCUCCUUCUCCACUCCCAGUGCUUGACUAGCCUAAA